rnacentral:rRNA from 1 species
UACCAGCACCCCGAGUGGUCGGGACGAUUAUUGGGCCUAAAGCAUCCGUAGCCGGUUCUGCAAGUCCUCCGUUAAAUCCAACUGCUUAACAGAUGGGCCGCGGAGGAUACUACAGAGCUAGGAGGCAGGAGAGGCAAGCGGUACUCAGUGGGUAGGGGUAAAAUCCGUUGAUCCAUUGAAGACCACCAGUGGCGAAGGCGGCUUGCCAGAAUGCGCUCGACGGUGAGGGAUGAAAGCUGGGGGGAGCAAACCGG